rnacentral:rRNA from 1 species
UACGAAGGGAGCUAGCGUUAUUCGGAAUUACUGGGCGUAAAGCGCAUGUAGGCGGAUCCACAAGUCAGAGGUGAAAUCCCAGGGCUCAACCCUGGAAUUGCCUUUGAAACUGUGGAUCUUGAGUAUGACAGAGGAUGGUGGAAUUUCCAGUGUAGAGGUGAAAUUCGUAGAUAUUGGAAGGAACACCGGUGGCGAAGGCGACCAUCUGGGUCAUUACUGACGCUGAGAUGCGAAAGCGUGGGGAGCAAACAGG